AGUCGAAGGACUCUUCCGACUAGUGGCGGACGGGUGAGUAAACGUGGGAACGUGCCUUUAGGUUCGGAAUAAGCCCGGGAAACUGGGUCUAAUACCGAAUGUGCCCUUCGGGGGAAAGAUUUAUCGCCUUUAGAGCGGCCCGCGUCUGAUUAGCUAGUUGGUAGUGUAAUGGACUACCAAGGCUACGAUCAGUAGCUGGUCUGAGAGGAUGACCAGCCACAUUGGGACUGAGACACGGCCCAAACUCCUACGGGAGGCAGCAGUGGGGAAUCCUGCGCAAUGGGCGAAAGCCUGACGCAGCCAUGCCGCGUGAAUGAUGAAGGUCUUACGAUUGUAAAAUUCUUUCACCGGGGACGAUAAUGACGGUACCCGGAGAAGAAGCCCCGGCUAACUUCGUGCCAGCAGCCGCGGUAAUACGAAGGGGGCUAGCGUUGCUCGGAAUUACUGGGCGUAAAGGGCGCGUAGGCGGACAUUUAAGUCAGGGGUGAAAUCCCAGAGCUCAACUCUGGAACUGCCUUUGAUACUGGGUGUCUUGAGUGUGAGAGAGGUAUGUGGAACUCCGAGUGUAGAGGUGAAAUUCGUAUAUAUUCUGAAGAACACCAGUGGCGAAAGCGACAUACUGGCUCAUUACUGACGCUGAGGCGCCAAAGCCGUGGGGAGCCAACAGGAUUAGAUACCCUGGUAGUCCACGCCGUAAACGAUGAUUGCUAGUUGCCGGGCUGCCUGCCGAUUCGGUGACCCCGCUAACGUCUUUAAUCCAUCCCUCCUGGGGAGUACCGCUCCCAAGAUUAAAACUCAAAAGGAUU
rnacentral:rRNA from 1 species